UACGUAGGGGGCAAGCGUUAUCCGGAAUUACUGGGUGUAAAGGGUGAGUAGGCGGCAUGGUAAGCCAGAUGUGAAAGCCUUGGGCUUAACCCGAGGAUUGCAUUUGGAACUAUCAAGCUAGAGUGCAGGAGAGGAAAGCGGAAUUCCUAGUGUAGCGGUGAAAUGCGUAGAUAUUAGGAAGAACACCAGUGGCGAAGGCGGCUUUCUGGACUGAAACUGACGCUGAGGCACGAAAGCGUGGGGAGCGAACAGG
rnacentral:rRNA from 1 species